ensembl:lncRNA mucin-5AC-like
GCGUCGCUGUGCAGAUGAGUUUCCACUUAUUAUCAGUUGCUACCAGUGCUGUCAGCAGGUAGAGAUGGGCGGGGGGGGACUGGGUGUUGGGGGUGAACGGUGAACGGAAAAGGAAUAUCCACACACAGAGAGAGAGAGAAGUCAUUCUAGUCAACUGCAGCUGACAUAAAGCGUGCACAGAGCACAAGGGGUGAAACAAGGAGCAUCAUUUACUCUUGUUCAGGAAACAAUGGCCAUCAUCACUUUCACAAAGCAUUCAGAACUUCUGCAUCUCUUGUUGGGAUUUCUUCUACCAUUAGUAUUAGUGCAAGCUGCAACUGGCCCACCUCAGUCUGUCUCCACAUCCAUGGUUUCUUCUGCUACACAAUCAACAAGCUCCCCUACCAACCAACCAAGCUCUGCUACCCAAUCCCUCGCUGUCAACCAGCCUGCGAUGACCAGCAACAAUGCAGCAUCAACAAGCACCACCCAGUCCAUGAGCUCCACAAGCACUGGAGGUACUUUGCUUUCAACCCAGUCUCCCUCACCCUCCUUUGUAGGUUCUUCAACCAGCAACCCUCCAUCGGCCACAACUUCCUCUGGAGAUUCUUCAUCCUCCACAGGUCCUCCUGGAGCGUCACUACCCACUACAACACAACCUCUCACUACUUCCUCCACAGGCACAGCAUCAACUGCAGUGGAUUUAACUUCCUCCACCCUCCAAUCUUUCACAUCUAAUUCUGCAGGUUCAUCAUCCUCUGUCCUUCCCUCUUCUGCUGCCACCAUCUCUUCAGGUUCACCAUCAGCCACAACACAAUCUUUAACAUCUGUCUUGCCAAUCACUGAAUCCACCAGAUUUGUAUCAACAGCAACAGGCACAGCAUCGACCACCAUGCUUCUCCCUGCAGCCACCUCAGCAGGCUUACAACCCUCCACUCUCCAGUCUUUCACUUCGUCCAUAGAUUCUCAGUCAACCUUUCCACAAUCUCCAACAACAUCUUCGAUGUCUUUGCCCUCCACCAUCACACAAUAUUUAACAACUGAUUCCCCAACAGCAUCAACCACCACUACAGGUUCACCAUCCACCACCCUCCCACCUUUCACUAGUACCUCUAUAGGUUCACCAUCAACUAUUCCACAAUCUUCAACAACAACCUCUACACCUUUACCCCCCACCGGUACACAAUCUUUAACAACUGAUUCCCCAACAGCAUCAACCACCACUACAGGUUCACCAUCCACCACCCUCCCACCUUUCACUAGUACCUCUAUAGGUUCACCAUCAACUAUUCCACAAUCUUCAACAACAACCUCUACACCUUUACCCCCCACCGGUACACAAUCUUUAACAACUGAUUCCCCAGCAGCAUCAACCACUGUUGCAAGUUCACCAUCCACCACCCUCCAAUCUUUCACUGCUACCUCCAUAGGUUCAUCAUCAAAUAUUCCACAGUCUUCAACAACAACAACAACAACCUCUAUAGCUUCACCCUCCACCAUUACACAAUCUUUAACAGCAACUGCCUCCCCAACAGCAACGUCUAAAGGUCUACAAUCGAUUGGGACAUCUGCUAUAGCUUUAACUACUUUAAGCCCAUCACUAACUCUAUCAACAAACACAGCAUCCAUUGCUUCACAGUCCCCUUCUGUUGGCAUGACCUCCACUAGCAACAACUUCCUCACAACAACCACCUCUGAAGGUACACCCUCCACUAACUCACCUCUUCUUUCUACAACCCCUGGAAGUGUACCCUCCAUCACCACAGAACCAUCUCUCACCUCUGGAGGUACAGCAAGCACCGGCAUGAAUUCUGAUACAAUCACCUCCAAAGUCCCACAACAAACCAGUACUGAAGAUACAACAGCCACCACUAAACCACUCACAGUUACCUCCGUUACUAGCCAAACAUUAUCUAUCUUAGGAAGCACAGCGGCCACCAUCACCUUCAGUGCCACAAAUGCCAAAAACACCGUCUUUCCCACAAGCCCAUCAGGAGGCAAAUCAACCGUCACUCGCUCUGACAUCAACACAAGCAAUGCCAUAUCAGCAACUUCAACUUCUGUCAAUGCUUUAAAUACAGGAACCAACUCUGCCCCCUCUACAGUUGGUUCAACAGGUGGUAUGGCUGCCUCAGAAACCCCAAUGGCAAGUACAACUCUGCAAACUUCAGCUUCCUCAGCAUCUGCGAUGUCUACCAUGACUUCAAGCUCAACAGGUGUGGGUUGUCGCAAAUAUCAUGUUUUACUAUCUUUGUACAUGGUUUUUGUCUUUUACUAA